GAAAUUUCAGACCACUCACUGUUGACACCAGUGACACACAGAUUGACCAGAUCUCAUGGAAGUACCCCCUGAAUCAGACCCAGUCGUUGGGUAGCCACCCUUGCACGUUGACACAGCCAGCAGCGAGCACCCAGGGCGAUGGACGCAGGAGUGGAGGAUUGCCCAAUAGGAUGCAAAUUCAGCCCACUCACUGUUGACACCAAUGAGGGAACAAGAAAGGCUAGGCAACCCCAUCUUUUGACAACGGUCUCCACCAGUCUAUUUCUAAAAAUGUCAACAAUACAUCUGCUAUAUAACAAUGAAUUCUUUUAAAAGAUUAUAUGAGACAUUUCAAAUGCUUUUUUUAAGCAAAUGCUUAUUUAUCCUUUCUAUCUGUAAAUAAUCUUGAACAUAUACAGAAUGUAUGUCAACCAAACUGCAUGAAUUGCAUAAUCACAAAAUUGCAUUAUUUCAAAAGCGCCUAUGAGUGUAUGGCUACUUUAUGACAGGAUUGCAUAUUUGUGAAUAUUUUAUUGUAAAUUUUAAUGGGAUUUUGUCCAAAGAAGUGCUUAUUAGUCUUUUGGUUUCUAAAUAACCCCAAACAUUUUUGUUAGACUGUGUAACAGCCCCUCCUACCACAUGAAUGGCCUGUCUCAAAUUCAAAAACGCCUAUAAUAUAUAGCUGCUAUAUGAUAAUAUAUGUUUGAUUUAUAGGAUUAUAUUGGUCAUUUCAAUGGAAUGUGUUAAAAUAUAUGCUUAUUGAUCAUUUUAAUGUGAAAGUUGGCCUGAAUUUGUGUGUUUGGGUGUAUCAUAGUCCUCUACUCUCAUGAGUUACACAGCAAACACCAUAAAAUCGCCUAUAUUGUACUGCACUAUAGUGGCAAUAUUUUUUUGUUGCCUUGUUGUAGAUAAUGACAUGUGAUUUCAUUUGUUACAGAACAUAUGUGUUUACAAUCUUAGCCAAUAAAAAGGUUUUAAUCUGUAUGUUUGGUAUUGUUCAUACUCAUUUAUUAUGAAAAAACUAAAUCGGAUUUUUGUA